rnacentral:misc_RNA from 1 species
UCUAAAUCGGUCAUCACCACUGCCAAAAUUUCCACUUUGCAAUUCUUCUUCUAAAAUUCUCAAUCCUGAAUUCUAUCAUCUAAUCAAAUUGACCAAAAACCAAGUAAUAGCACAAAAAAGGCUUGAACGCAGAAACCAUGUUCCCCAAAGCCACCGAAAUGACCUCCACCAAAGCGAUAAUCUCCGCCGCUGCCUCCGCUGCUGCCACAGUCAUGCUCCUUCGCUCUGUGGCUAACGACUUUAUUCCAAAGGAGCUUCGACAAUAUGUUUACUUCAAACUCAUAACCCUUAUUAACUCUUUCUCCUCGGAACUAACCUUAGUGAUUGAAGAAUAUGAUAAUCUUAACCAGAACCAUCUCUUCACAGCUGCACAGCUCUAUCUUCAGCCCAUAAUUCCUCCCAACACGCAGAGACUCAAAAUUUCAUUACCCAAGAAAGAGAAUAACAUUUCUAUGUCCUUAGAGCAAAACCAAGAAAUCAUCGAUACCUUUAAUGGGGUUAACGUGAAGUGGAAGUUUAUUUCGAGAGAAGAACGAGUGAAGUAUGUCCCAAGCCCUGAUCUCUAUAGCACUAUGCCUGUAAACGAGCGCAGGUUCUUUGAGUUGAGCUUCCACAAUAAGCACAAGAACGUGGUUCUUGACGCUUACAUAAAGCAUGUAAUCAAGAAAUCGAAAGAAAUCAAAGACGAGAAAAGAACAUUGAAGCUCUUUACAUUAAGCCUGGACAGGAUGACAGGGAGGAGAGGAGAUGCAUGGCAAUCUGUGAACCUUGAUCAUCCUGCUACCUUUGAUACGU